UGGGGAAUUUUGGACAAUGGGGGCAACCCUGAUCCAGCAAUGCCGCGUGUGUGAAGAAGGCCUUCGGGUUGUAAAGCACUUUUGUCCGGAAAGAAAACUUCGGGGCUAAUACCCCUGGAGGAUGACGGUACCGGAAUAAUAAGCACCGGCUAACUACGUGCCAGCAGCCGCGGUAAUACGUAGGGUGCGAGCGUUAAUCGGAAUUACUGGGCGUAAAGCGUGCGCAGGCGGUGCUGUAAGACCGAUGUGAAAUCCCCGGGCUUAACCUGGGAACUGCAUUAGUGACUGCAGCGAUGGAGUAUGGAAGGGGGGGGUGGAAUUCCACGUGUAGCAGUGAAAUGCGUAGAGAUGUGGAGGAACACGGAUGGCGGAGGCAGCACCCUGGGCCAAUACUGACGCUCAUGCACGAAAGCGUGGGGAGCAAACAGG
rnacentral:rRNA from 1 species